GCCCCAGUAACGGCGAGUGAAGCGGCAACAGCUCAAAUUUGAAAUCUGGCCCCUAGGGUCCGAGUUGUAAUUUGUAGAGGAUGCUUUUGGUGAGGUGCCGCCCGAGUUCCCUGGAACGGGACGCCGCAGAGGGUGAGAGCCCCGUCUGGCUGGCCACCGAGCCUCUGUAAAGCUCCUUCAACGAGUCGAGUAGUUUGGGAAUGCUGCUCAAAAUGGGAGGUAUAUGUCUUCUAAAGCUAAAUAUUGGCCAGAGACCGAUAGCGCACAAGUAGAGUGAUCGAAAGAUGAAAAGCACCUUGAAAAGAGGGUUAAACAGUACGUGAAAUUGUUGAAAGGGAAGCGCUUGUGACCAGACUUGGGCGCGGCGGAUCAUCCGGGGUUCUCCCCGGUGCACUUCGCCGCGUUCAGGCCAACAUCAGUUCGGCGCGGGGGAAAAAGGCUUCGGG
rnacentral:rRNA from 1 species